rnacentral:rRNA from 1 species
GUUGAAAUGGGAUACCUAAAUUUCCCAUAGCAAACUGCUCAGUAACACAUGAUCAACUUACCCUAUAGAGAAAAAUAACCUCGGGAAACUGAGGAUAAUGUUUCAUAAUUGAAUUGGCUUGGAAAAGUUUUUCAAUGAAAAGGAUAAAAAAAAUGGUUUUUAUCUGCUAUAGGAUAGGAUCGUGUUCGAUUAUGGUUGUUGGUGAGAUAAUGGCUCACCAAGCCGAUAAUCGAUAGGGGCCGUGAGAGCGGGAGCCCCGAGAUGGGUACUGAGACAACGACCCAGGCCUUACGAGGCGCAGCAGGCGCGGAACCUCCGCAAUACACGAAAGUGUGACGGGGUUACCCAAAGUGUUCAAUAGAACUGUGGUAGGUGAGUAAUGUCCCCUACUAGAAAGGAGAGGGCAAGGCUGGUGCCAGCCGCCGCGGUAAAACCAGCUCUUCAAGUGGUCGGGAUAAUUAUUGGGCUUAAAGUGUCCGUAGCCGGUCUAGUAAGUUCCUGGUAAAAUCGGGUAGCUUAACUAUCUGCAUGCUAGGAAUACUGCUAUACUAGAGGGCGGGAGAGGUCUGAGGUACUACAGGGGUAGGGGUGAAAUCUUAUAAUCCUUGUAGGACCACCAGUGGCGAAGGCGUCAGACUGGAACGCGCCUGACGGUGAGGGACGAAAGCCAGGGGAGCGAACCGGAUUAGAUACCCGGGUAGUCCUGGCCGUAAACGAUGCAUACUAGGUGAUGGUACGGCCAUGAGCCGUAUCAGUGCCGUAGGGAAACCGUUAAGUGUGCCGCCUGGGAAGUACGGUCGCAAGGCUAAAACUUAAAGGAAUUGGCGGGGGAGCACCACAAGGGGUGAAGCCUGCGGUUCAAUUGG